UUGGCCCGUGUGAGCCAAACUUCACAAGUAGAAACGGUUACAAGUGCAAACGAAUUCUUCAUGGGAUCAAACUGCUUGGAAGUGGUAGAGGCUGGAUUUGGUACCACACUCCAGCCCCCUGCUCACUUCCCAUCAUCCUCAGCACAACAGUUGGAGAUGAUGGCACCGAGUCCAGAGAGCGGAGGAGUAAGAAGUCCGCUAACAUGUGGAGUGUGUAGGCUUGACACACGCUGUCUCAGCUCCUGAGACUGAACCAGAGCCGGAUGAGACUUGCCAGCUGUCCAAACAGCCAUUGUUUGCUCUGCUCUCAGGCCCCUCGUGGGACUGACUCUGAAUCAGUCCAGAAAAAUCAUCACGGAG